rnacentral:tRNA from 1 species
AAAUCUUUAGAUAAGCAUAGCUUCUAACUAUGUAACAGUAACUACCAUUACUAAGAUUUU